AUGUUGACUGUGACCCAGGGCAGGUGUUAGCUAUCACCCAGGGCAGAUGUUGGCUAUGAAAGAGACUUGCUAAUGGACGCUCAAUCAAUCCUGACCUGGGUGUUGGAAACCUGUCCCUCCUGCUGCUGACACUCCCCAUGUGCGUCCUUUCAGAAGCAGGGAAGGCUGUGGAAGCUGUGGCCAUGUCAUAACCCUGUGACCUACGUCAGCCAGCUAGACCCUGCCUCCCAGAGUCACACCACUAGCCAAGGAGAACACAGGCCUGAGAUGGGAGCUUAUCACGAUGGUCUGGAUUCAAGCUGUAAAAUACCAUUCCUCCUGAAGCUGCAGAGACCGCUCAUUGCUUCUCUGUGGAGCUGUCAGGACUCUAUGGAAAGCGCUCACUGUAUGUUGUUGACAUGGACGCAGAUGUGGGGACUUUGUCUGCAGAGCCAUGCAAAAUACAAGAGUACAGAAUGAACUACGUGAGAGACUUCCCAGUCCUGGAAAAGCAGAGGCAGCAGCUUGUCAGAAAGAUAAGAAGGCAGAUUCCGGAGUUCAAGGUCGGCCUGGUCCAGAGCAAGGCAGGGCGUAAAACCAGCUUUCAACAACCGCAGUGAAAUCUCAAGGCUCAGUUACUCAGAGCUCUGAAAAGCUGGGCGCUUUUCUCUCGGAGGCAGAAAGGUGCGUUUUUUGAGGAAACAAAUCAGCCAGCGCCAGCAUUUACAUCUGAAAAGGAGAAAAACACGUGUGAUUAAUAAAAGACUCAUCCAGCGUG
rnacentral:sRNA from 1 species